GAUCAAGGGAUUCUCUCUCUUGGAGGCUUCCUGAGAGCACAGAUGGAUGAGAAAAACUCAGCUGGCCCUGAAGCAGGAAGAGGCCAUGCCAUCAGAACCGGGAGCAGUGGGGGAUUCUGGGGAAAAACUGUGCAGAAGAUCCUGGGUGAGGAGGACACUCUCCGCUCAGAGGUGCAGAGCCAGCAAUUGAGGCAGUUCUGCUUCCAGGAGGCCAAAGGACCUCGAGAGGUUUGCAGCCGACUCUACAACCUUUACCAUCAAUGGCUGAAGCCAGAAAGGCACACGAAAGCUGAGAUGCUGGACCUGGUGAUCUUGGAGCAGUUCCUGGCUGUCCUUCCACUGGAGAUGGAGAGCUGGGUGAGGGAAUGUGGAGCGGAGAGCAGUUCCCAGGCGGUGGCCCUGGCCGAAGGUUUCCUACUGAGUCAGGCGGAGGAGAGAAAGCAGGCAGAGCAGCAGAGACAGGAUCUGUUUGCAGAAAUGGGCCCAGAUUCCUCUGAGACCAAAAGGACUCGGUUGAACACCAGAGAGAGGCUGCUGGGUGACCAGAUGAUGCCAGCAAGACCUCCUCUUCCAUCUAUUCCUGGUGGUGAAGGAGAAGCAACGGCUGUGGAAGCAGCUCAGGGUCCAGUGUGGUUUGAAGAUGUCGCUGUUCAUUUCACAGAUGAGGAAUGGGCGUUGCUGGAUCCUGACCAGAGAGCUCUGCAUAAGGAAGUCAUGGAGGAGAAUUGUGGGAUCGUGGCCUCUCUCAGUGGUGAUGAUUUGGAAAUUGAGAGCGAGGAUGCCCAUGACAGAAUCCACACAGUGGAGAAGCCAUUGCCACUCUUGGAGUGUGGAGAGAGCUUCAGUCACAGCUCCCAUUCGAGUACCCACCAAAGAAAUGCUAUUGGGAAGAAACCCUCUCAGUUCUCUGAAUGGGGGAAAACUUUCUGUUGGAAUGAAAGCCUCACUUCACAAGAAAUAAUUCCCACAGGGGAAGACCCACUGAAAUGCUUGGAAUGUGGAAAGAGCUUCAGUAAGAGUGCACAUCUCAUUUCGCAUGAAAUAAUUCAUACAGGCAAGAAACCCUAUCAGUGCUUGGAAUGUAGGAAAAGCUUUAAUACAAGCAAAACCUUCUGUAAACACCAGAGAAUUCACAGGAGGGAGAAGCCAUUUGAAUGCCGAGAGCGUGGAAAGAGCUUCAGUCAGAGAACCCAUCUCACAGCCCAUCAAAUAAUUCAUACAGGUGAGAAACCCUAUCAGUGCUCGGAAUGUGGGCGGAGCUUCAAUCACAGGACGACUCUCACGGUCCAUCAAAGAAUUCACAGUGGUGAGAAACCCUAUCAGUGCUCAGUAUGUGGGAAGAGUUUCACUGUGAGCUCCCAUCUCACUUCCCACCAAAGAAUUCAUACCGGGGAGAAACCAUAUCAGUGUGUGAAUUGUGGAAAGGGCUUCACCCAAAAGGCAAGUCUCACUUCCCAUCAAAGAAUUCACAGUGGUGAAAAACCUUAUCAAUGCAUGGAAUGUGGGAAGAGCUUCAGUCAUAAGCAAAGUCUCCCUUCCCACCAAAGAAUUCACAGUGGUGAGAAACCCUAUCAGUGCUCGGAAUGUGGAAAGAGUUUCUCCCAGAGAGCCAAUCUCAGUUCCCACCAAAGAAUUCACACAGGUGAAAAACCCUAUCAGUGCUUGGAAUGUGGAAAGAACUUCAGUCUCAGGGCCCAUCUCACUACCCAUCAAAGCAUUCAUACCAGGAAGAAACCCUAUCGAUGCUUGGAUUGUGGAAAGAGUUUCCUACAGAGAGCCGAUCUCACUUCUCACCAAAGAAUUCACAAAGGGGAGAAACCAUAUCAGUGCUUGGAAUGUGGGAAGAGCUUCACUGUGAGCGCUGGUCUUACUUCCCACCAAAAAAUUCAUAUUGGGGAGAAACCCUAUCAAUGUGUGAAUUGUGGAAAGAGCUUCACCCAGAAGCAAAGUCUCACUUCCCACCAAAGAAUUCACAGUGAUGAGAAACCAUAUCAGUGCUUGGAAUGUGGGAAGAGCUUCACUGUGAGCGCUGGUCUUACUUCCCACCAAAAAAUUCAUAUUGGGGAGAAACCCUAUCAAUGUGUGAAUUGUGGAAAGAGCUUCACCCAGAAGCAAAGUCUCACUUCCCACCAAAGAAUUCACACAGGAGAGAAACCAUAUCAGUGCUUGGAAUGUGGAAAGAGCUUCAGUCAUAAGCAAAGUCUCCCUUCCCAUAAAAGAAUUCACAGUGGUGAGAAACCUUAUCAGUGCUUGGAAUGUGGAAAGGGCUUUGGUAAGAGGACCAAGCUCAUGGCCCAUGGACGAACUCACAAUGGUGAGAAACCCUAUCAAUGCUUGGAUUGUGGAAAGAGUUUCAGCCAAAGGGCCAAUCUAACUUGCCACGAAAGAAUUCACACAGGAGAGAAACCAUAUCAGUGCUUGGAAUGUGGAAAGAGCUUCAGUAAGAGGACCAACCUCAUGGCCCAUCAAAGAAUCCACACUGGGGAGAAACCCUAUCAGUGCUUGGAAUGUGGGAAGAGCUUCACCCGGAAGGACAACCUCACUUCCCACCAAAGAAUUCACACAGGGGAGAAACCAUAUCAGUGCUUGGAAUGUGGAAAGAGCUUCAGUAAGAGGACCAACCUCAUGGCCCAUCAAAGAGUUCAUACAGGGGAGAAUCAUAGAAUUUUAGACCUGCAGGAGACUUCUGGGUCGUCUAGUCCACUGCAGGACUCUCAACUAAAGCUUCCAUGACAUAUUGCCUUCAAACGUCUCCUUACAAACCUCCAAGGAAGGAGAGUCCACAACCUUCCAAGGGCAUCUCUAAUUUGAAGCCAUUGAUUUGUUUACAGAUAGGUAGCCGUGUUGGUCUGCCAUAGUCAAAACAAAAAAUUUUUUUCUUCCAGUAGCACCUUAAAGACCAACUAAGUUAGUUCUUGGUAUGAGCUUUCGUGUGCAUGCACACUUCUUCAGAUACACUGAAACAGAAGUUGCCAGAUCCUUCUAUAUAGUGAGAAGGUGGGGAGGGGUAUUACUCAGAAG